UAGGGCUGUUGUGCAGUGUGUCUAGAUAUGGAAAGGAGGAAAACAUACUGGUCAUCUUAUUUGAAAAUACAACUACAGUAUUGUUUAAAGUGAGAAAACUUCCCUAUGUUUCCAGUUUUUCUGAUUCCUUUAUAAGACUAAGAGAGAAGAAGACUUGAAUUCGAUAUAAAGAAGACUAUCAUGGACUCCAGGGAUUGUUGUAUGCAUGGCCUUCAGAAACUAUCCCAGAUCCACACACUUCUCACCUUUUUUACCACCACCAGCUCUGGAGACCCCGGUGCUAGCCUUCUAACCAGGCUCAGCUUCCGUUCCAUUCCCCUCUUGUGCCUUCUCCACACAGCAGCCAGUGAUCUUCCUGGAACUGUGCGCUGGGUCCAGUCUCUCUCCAUCCAGGGGUUCUUUGCGCUCGCAGUUCUCUCUGCCUGGAACCCUGACCCCUUUCCCCAUACGGCACACCCCAUUCGGGUCUUUGCUCACCUCCAAGAGGUGACGUGUCCCUGUGCAAUCUAAUGGCCCGAAGCAGAUUUGACCAGCCCUGCCUGUGGUGGCGGCACCAGAAUAGCUGGCUUCUGAAAGGAUUCAGAGGCCACUGCCUUAAAAGAAAUUCCUAAGUGUGGUAACGUUUGGUUUGGGGAAGAUCUCACCCAUCGAAAAGAAGCAAGUCACUGAUGACGUUAGAGACAUUAGAGACUUCUAACGUAUAGCUUCUAUUAGUAAACUAUAUUCACUUCUGUAAAACACACACGCCUCUUCUUCACCUUCUCUUGUUCUAGCCUCAGCCUCGGAGAUGGAUUAUAAAGUCCUCUUUUGUCGUUAUGCAGGUACUGUGUGGUUUUACUGACCCCCGAGGCUACCAAGUUGAGUAAACCCUUUGAGGCUUUCCUGUCCUUUGCCCUGGCAAACACACAAGACACAGUGAGAUUCGUGCACAUCUACAGCAAUCGACAGCAAGAGUUUGCCAACACCUUACUACCAGACAUUGAUACGUUUCAAGGAAAAUCAGCGGUGUCUAUCUUGGAAAGGCGCACCACGGGAGGAAGGGUGGUGUAUAAAACCCUGGAGGCUCCCUGGACAGGGAGUGAGAGUGAUAAAUUCACGCUUUUGGGCUAUCUUGACCAGCUGCGCAGAGACCCCGCUCUGCUGUCCUCAGAAGCUGUGCUCCCGGACCUGACAGAUGAACUUGCCCCUAUCUUUCUCCUCCGGUGGUUCUACUCUGCUUCUGACUACAUCUCAGACUGCUGGGACAGCAUAUUUCACAACAACUGGUAGGAGUAUUGCUACAGUGAAUUU